GGUAACCGCAAAUGAUUCUGGGAUAACCGCUGGAAACGGCGUCUAAUACUGGAUAUGUGACGUGACCGCAUGGUCUGCGUUUGGAAAGAUUUUUCGGUUGGGGAUGGGCUCGCGGCCUAUCAGCUUGUUGGUGAGGUAAUGGCUCACCAAGGCGUCGACGGGUAGCCGGCCUGAGAGGGUGACCGGCCACACUGGGACUGAGACACGGCCCAGACUCCUACGGGAGGCAGCAGUGGGGAAUAUUGCACAAUGGGCGAAAGCCUGAUGCAGCAACGCCGCGUGAGGGAUGACGGCCUUCGGGUUGUAAACCUCUUUUAGCAGGGAAGAAGCGAAAGUGACGGUACCUGCAGAAAAAGCGCCGGCUAACUACGUGCCAGCAGCCGCGGUAAUACGUAGGGCGCAAGCGUUAUCCGGAAUUAUUGGGCGUAAAGAGCUCGUAGGCGGUUUGUCGCGUCUGCUGUGAAAUCCCGAGGCUCAACCUCGGGCCUGCAGUGGGUACGGGCAGACUAGAGUGCGGUAGGGGAGAUUGGAAUUCCUGGUGUAGCGGUGGAAUGCGCAGA
rnacentral:rRNA from 1 species